UACGGAGGGGGCAAGCGUUGUUCGGAAUUACUGGGCGUAAAGGCGCGCAGGCGGCUGCUCAAGUCAGGCGUGAAAGGCCUGGGCUCAACCCGGGAAUUGCGCUUGAGACUGGAUGGCUUGAGUUUGGGAGAGGGAUGCGGAAUUCCAGGUGUAGCGGUGAAAUGCGUAGAUAUCGGGAGGAACACCAGUGGCGAAGGCGACUUCCUGGCCUGUUCUUGACGCUGAGGCGCGAAAGCUAGGGUAGCAAACGGG
rnacentral:rRNA from 1 species